rnacentral:ncRNA from 2 species
AAUAUAAAUAUAGGAAUAGGUGCCCUACAGGGCUUAAUAGGGAAGUCCGGUGCGAUGCCGGCGCGGUCCCGCCACUGUAACGGGGAGUAAAUUCGCAAUAUGUCACUGGAGCGUUUCGCUUUGGGAAGGCGCGAAGAAGCAAUGAUCCGGAGCCAGGAGAACUGCCUGUUCAGCAAUCACUGC